rnacentral:tRNA from 1 species
GGGAAUGUGGCUCAAGUGGAAGAGCACCUGCCUAGCAAGUUCUAGGCCCUGAGUUCAAACCCCAGCAUAUCCA